GAUGAAGAACGUAGCGAAAUGCGAUAAGUAAUGUGAAUUGCAGAAUUCAGUGAAUCAUCGAGUCUUUGAACGCAAAUUGCGCCCCCUGGUAUUCCGGGGGGCAUGCCUGUCCGAGCGUCAUUGCUGCCCUCAAGCACGGCUUGUGUGUUGGGCCCCGUCCCCUCCCCCGGGGACGGGCCCGAAAGGCAGCGGCGGCACCGCGUCCGAUCCUCGAGCGUAUGGGGCUUUGUCACCCGCUCUGUAGGCCCGGCCGGCGCCAGCCGACACCCAACUUUUAUUUCUAAGGUUGACCUCGGAUCAGGUAGGGAUACCCGCUGAACUUAAGCAUAUCAAUAAGCGGAGGA
rnacentral:misc_RNA from 1 species